AACGAACGCUGGCGGCAUGCCUAACACAUGCAAGUCGAACGAGACCUUCGGGUCUAGUGGCGCACGGGUGCGUAACGCGUGGGAACCUGCCCUUAGGUUCGGAAUAACUCCCCGACAGGGGUGCUAAUACCGGAUAAUGUCUUCGGACCAAAGAUUUAUCGCAUUUGGAUGGGCGCGCGUUGGAUUAGCUAGUUGGUAGGGUAAAAGCCUACGAAGGCGACGAUCCAUAGCUGGUCUGAGAGGAUGAUCAGCCACACUGGGACUGGGACACGGCCCAGACUCCUACGGGAGGCAGCAGUGGGGAAUAUUGGACUAUGGGCGAAGGCCUGAUCCAGCAAUGCUGGGUGAGUGAUGAAGGCCUUAGGGUUGUAAAGCUCUUUUACCCGGGAUGAUAAUGACAGUACCGGGAGAAUAAGCUCCGGCUAACUCCGUG
rnacentral:rRNA from 1 species